rnacentral:sRNA from 1 species
GUGUGAAACGGCAAAGAAGAAUCGGACAUCUGAUAAGGGUGGAUGUUUGCACACUAGAGGAUCUAUAAGCGUACAUGAGCAUGCUAUUCGUUUGUCACAAGAGCUUGGUCGGUCUGUGCAUGUUGAUGAAAUAUUUCAGCAGACACAUAUUCGUCAAUCAACGGGAGAAUUUGUGGACGAAAGGUCUAGGCGAACCCAUGAACAAUUUGUUGCAAAAUUUUCUGAAAUUAGAUCUGAGACUGCAUCUGUUGGUGUCUCAACAUCUUCUCCUCUAGACCCUGCGGAGGAGGAAAGAUUGAGAAACCGAUGUUGGUUAGAGGCUGCUGGUGGAAAAUACAAGGGACGCGUAUACGGCAUUGGAAAUGUCACUUCCCAAGAUGACUGUGUUGAUAGUUACAUCCAACAGACACAGGCAUCUUCUACUGCUCAACCUCAAAAUUCAGAAGAAAUUGUUAACCUGAAAUCGCAGUUAGAACAAUAUGGUCAGCAGCUUCAAAAGUUUGAAGGCUUUAUUGGCGUCCUCCUGCCAUUCCUUCCGCCUUCAGCAGCCGCGGCUGCACAACAAUUUUUAAACCUUCAAAAUCCUCAAGUUCAAAAUGACGUACCCAAUACAGUCCAACCAGAACAGCAACCUCCAGAACAGCAACCACCACAUGAAGAACCAGAAGAUGGAAAUGAUGAUUACAUGCAUUAUUAGGAAUUUUAUAGAACUUAUUUCCAUUACUGUUGAACUUAUUUAGAACCACAACUACAAUCUGUUUAUGAACUUACCAAAUGUUG